AGAGUUUGAUCCUGGCUCAGAUUGAACGCUGGCGGCAUGCCUAACACAUGCAAGUCGAACGAGACCUUCGGGUCUAGUGGCGCACGGGUGCGUAACGCGUGGGAAUCUGCCCUUGGGUUCGGAAUAACAGUUAGAAAUGACUGCUAAUACCGGAUAAUGUCUUCGGACCAAAGAUUUAUCGCCCAGGGAUGAGCCCGCGUAGGAUUAGCUAGUUGGUGAGGUAAAGGCUCACCAAGGCGACGAUCCUUAGCUGGUCUGAGAGGAUGAUCAGCCACACUGGGACUGAGACACGGCCCAGACUCCUACGGGAGGCAGCAGUGGGGAAUAUUGGACAAUGGGCGAAAGCCUGAUCCAGCAAUGCCGCGUGAGUGAUGAAGGCCUUAGGGUUGUAAAGCUCUUUACCCGGGAUGAUAAUGACAGUACCGGGAGAAUAAGCCCCGGCUAACUCCGUG
rnacentral:rRNA from 1 species